GCUACUUUCCCUUGCCCUAUGACUAAAUAACACAGUUCUUCUCUAGCUCUUUUGUAGGUCAUCUUAAGGAACUGGAAGGAGCUCCAAGGUCUCCCUGCAGCCUUCUCUUUCCCAGGCUGAACAGACCCAGCUCUCCCAGGCUGUUUUCACAGGAUGGAGCUCUAGCCCUUUGAUCAUCUCUCUGGCCUCCUCUGGGCUCACUGGGAAGAAUGCUGGAGUGGCCUGAAUCUGAUUCCUUUGAAGUCAAUGGCAGAAGUCCAGCACUGAAAAACAGCCCACUAGAGCAUAAUGUAGCUGUUCAGAAUAAACAAGUGGAAACAAUGGUUAGAGCCC
rnacentral:lncRNA from 1 species